rnacentral:rRNA from 1 species
CGUAGGGACCGAGCGUUGUCCGGAUUCAUUGGGCGUAAAGAGCUCGUAGGCGGCUGUUCAAGUCGAACGUGAAAACUCGGAGCUCAACUCCGAGCCUGCGUUCGAUACUGGAUGGCUAGAGUCUGGUAGGGGGAUCUGGAAUUCCUGGUGUAGCGGUGGAAUGCGCAGAUAUCAGGAGGAACACCGGUAGCGAAGGCGGGAUCCUGGGCCAGUACUGACGCUGAGGAGCGAAAGCGUGGGGAGCAAACAGGAUUAGAUACCCUGGUAGUCCACGCCGUAAACGAUGGGCGCUAGGUGUGGGAGGUCAUCGACUCCUUCCGUGCCGCAGCUAACGCAUUAAGCGCCCUGCCUGGGGAGUACGGCCGCAAGGCUA